GGGGAUGUGGCUCAAGUGGUAGAGCGCUCACCUAGCAUGUGUGAGGAACUGGGUUCGAUUCUCAGCACCACG
rnacentral:tRNA from 1 species